GCCGGGUGCAGUGGUUCAUGCCUGUAGUCCCAGCUACUCAGGAAGCUGAGGUGGGAGGAUCGCUUGAGCCCAGGAGUUCUGGGCUAUAGUGUACUAUGCAGAUCGGGUGUCUGCACUAAGUUCAGCAUCAAUAUGGUGACCUCCUGGGAGUGGGGGACCACCAGGUUGCCUAAGGAGGAGUGAACCGGCCCAGGUUGGAAACAGAGCAGGUCAAAACUCCCGUGCUGAUCAGUACUAGGAUUGCGCCUGUGAAUAGCCACUACACUCAAGCCUGGGCAACAUAGUGAGACCCUGUAUCU
rnacentral:SRP_RNA from 1 species